rnacentral:tRNA from 1 species
GACGAGGUGGCCGAGUGGUUAAGGCGAUGGACUGCUAAUCCAUUGUGCUCUGCACGCCUGGGAUCGAAUCCCAUUCUCGUCG